GUCUAUGGCCAUACCACCCUGAACGCGCCUGAUCUCAUCUGAUCUUGGAAGCUAAGCAGGGUUGGCCUGGUUAGUACUUGAUGGGAAACAGAUCUUCAGAAGAGACUGCUCAGAGACAAGCAGUUUGGAGACA
rnacentral:rRNA from 1 species